UACAGAGGUCCCAAGCGUUGUUCGGAUUCACUGGGCGUAAAGGGUGCGUAGGUGGUUAGGUAAGUCCGAUGUGAAAUCUCCAGGCUCAACCUGGAAAUGGCAUUGGAUACUAUCUAGCUUGAGGAGUGGAGGGGGGACUGGAAUUCUCGGUGUAGCAGUGAAAUGCGUAGAUAUCGAGAGGAACACCAGUGGCGAAGGCGAGUCCCUGGACACUUCCUGACACUGAGGCACGAAAGCCAGGGGAGCGAACGGG
rnacentral:rRNA from 1 species